rnacentral:piRNA from 5 species
GUGUAUGUGCUUGGCUGAGGAGC